rnacentral:rRNA from 1 species
GAUGAACGCUGGCGGCGUGCCUAAUACAUGCAAGUCGAGCGAACGGACGAGAAGCUUGCUUUUCUGAUGUUAGCGGCGGACGGGUGAGUAACACGUGGAUAACCUACCUAUAAGACUGGGAUAACUUCGGGAAACCGGAGCUAAUACCGGAUAAUAUUUUGAACCGCAUGGUUCAAAAGUGAAAGACGGUCUUGCUGUCACUUAUAGAUGGAUCCGCGCUGCAUUAGCUAGUUGGUAAGGUAACGGCUUACCAAGGCAACGAUGCAUAGCCGACCUGAGGGGGUGAGCGACCAAACGGGACGUGAGACACGUCCAGGCCUCCAGGGGGGGGCGACGGGGGGAAUCCUUCCGCAAGGGGGGAAGCCCUGACGGAUCAACGCCGCGGGAAGAAUGAAGUUCUUCGGAUGUAAAACCUUUUUUAUGGGGGAAAAAAAUAUGUUAAAGUAACUGUGAACAUCUGGCGGUUACCUAAUCAGAAACCCAGGCAAAACACGGUC